UUUGCCACUGAUCUCAGCUACAGUGGAUAACGGAACCAUCUGUAGAACUCAAAGAGCGCCUCAAAGCUCCUCCAUUGCACCAACAAUGGCGACCUUUCCGACGCCAUCGUCGCUCUCUUUCUCUUCUUCAUCGAUCGUCCUUUCCUCCCCCAACGAAAAUUCGAAGCUAUUCGGCAAUUGGAAACCUAACUCCCGUAUACCCCAAACCAAGCCCUUAUCGAUCUCCUCCCAGCUCGCUACUCUUCCAGUUCUCUCUUUCGCCGGAGAAGAGGUCGGCAAGACCUAUCUCGACCUCAAAUCCGCUCCACCGGAAACCGCCCGCGCCGUCGUUCACCGAGCUAUUAUCACCGACCAACAGAACAAGCGCCGAGGGACCGCCUCGACUCUCACCAGAGCGGAGGUUAGUGGAGGCGGUAGGAAACCCUACCAGCAGAAGAAAACCGGUAAGGCCCGUCGCGGUUCGAUGCGUACUCCUCUUCGACCUGGCGGAGGUGUGAUCUUCGGGCCGAAACCUAGAGAUUGGUCCAUUAAGAUCAACAGAAAGGAGAAGAGCUUGGCAAUAUCUACGGCGGUGGCUAGCGCGGCGGUAAAUACGAUAGUGGUGGAAGAUUUCGGCGACAAGUUCGAGAAGCCGAAAACUAAAGAGUUCAUUGCUGCGCUGAAGAGAUGGGGAAUCGAUCCAAAGGAGAAAUCACUGUUCUUAAUGACGGAGGUUUCUGAUAAUGUGCGAUUAUCUAGCCGUAACGUCGGAACGUUGAAAUUGUUGACGCCGAGAACGCUGAAUUUGUUCGAUAUUUUGAAUUCCGAUAAGUUAGUCUUGACACCGGCGGCGGUAGAUUAUCUGAAUGAGAGAUAUGGAAAUAAUUACGAAGAAGGAAUCGCAGACUAGGAAGAAGAAGACGAAGAAGGGCUGGAGAAGGUAGGUGAGGAUUCGGACGCAGCAUAAUGAAUCUGCCAUGUGCAAAUCAUGAAAGGAGCUUUCAGGGCUUCCCUCUACUUUCUUCCUAAUUUAGAGCUUCCAUUAGUAUUCUGAGUCUCCUAUGGCACUUCCUUUGUCCAUAAAAUAUGAAAACGUUCCGAAAGAAAGAGAACGAGUUUGCAGAAGAUGAUACUUAAAAUGUUUUGAGUUCCUUGAAAGUCUUCCUAAAAACGGCCCCUUUUUUGGGUGUUUUUAGUUCAAUGAGUGAAGUUGAGAGAUUCGAACUUUUGACAUCUUUGGUCCAUAAUCGUUUGAGCUAUGAUCAGAUUGGCUAAAGUUGAAGAUGGGGUCUUGCCCGUAAAUUUAAGACAUGUAGCUCAAAGAUUGUUCGACCCUUUAUAAACUAGGAAAAAUGAGGCUUGUAAUAGAUUCAUGCUUAAAUUUUUAGAUGAUAA